UGAGGAAUAUUGGGCAAUGCCCGCAAGGGUGACCCAGCAACGCCGCGUGGAGGAUGAAUGUCGUAAGAUUGUAAACUCCUGUUAGAGGGGAAGAAUAGUACCGGUUGGACCGGUAUAUGACUGCACCCUCAGAGAAAGCCCCGGCUAACUACGUGCCAGCAGCCGCGGUAAUACGUAGGGGGCAAGCGUUGUCCGGAUUUACUGGGUGUAAAGGGCGCGCAGGCGGGAUAAAAAGUCAGUGGUGAAAUCCUACAGCUUAACUGUAGAACUGCCUUUGAUACUUUUAUUCUUGAGUUCGGGAGAGAGAGACGGAAUUCCAGGUGUAGUGGUGAAAUACGUAGAGAUCUGGAAGAACACCAGUUGCGAAGGCGGUCUCUUGGUCCGACACUGACGCUGAGGCGCGAAAGCGUGGGGAGCAAACA
rnacentral:rRNA from 1 species